UAAUAUGUCAACUUGGGAAGCGGAAAUUUCACAAAUUAAAUACGAUAAUAUUUGAUUUAAAUGCUUUAAACGUACUCAAAAUUGCAAGUUAAUAGCAAGUAGGAAAAGUAAAAUUCUUUCAAUUGAGUUCCCAUAAAGUUUCAACUUGAAUUAAAAUUUCAAAUGAUAAACCUUAAUCAGAUAUGUGUGCAGCAAUUAUAUUUAAUCAUUCUGCCACCACCUUCAAAAAGUACAAACUGGGAAAAAGAGAUGUUGGUGUGAUUGUUAUUGCCGUUGGUAUGGCAACUUAUGGCAACUUAUCACAGCUUCUUGCAACACAAGGCGCAAUUUGCAACGGCCAACCCAGCGGGCCAUAUACUCGUAAACUCAAAUUUGGACUCCGCAUAAGACUUUAUAGAAUUGGCAUUAAACAUAGUAUUUAAAAUAUAUUCACCCAAAGCAAUCAUACUUAUAAAAAUACGUAUGCCUUUGCGGUUCCUUUUAAGUACUAUAAAUUUUACUACUUUUCAUAAAAAUGUUUUUACAAUAGUGCGAAUAGGGUACUCAAACAUUCGGUACUCCGCAGCCGCGUGCGAUGCAAAUGAUAAUAAUAGAGGUAAAAAGUAAAUAAAAAAGCAGUACAAAUAAAUUACAAGCGCCGCGCGCCACUUGUACAUCUCA